rnacentral:rRNA from 1 species
AUAGCAGAAUUCAGUGAAUCAUCGAAUCUUUGAACGCAUCUUGCGCUCCUUGGUAUUCCGAGGAGCAUGCCUGUUUGAGUGUCAUU